CCGUUUGGCAAGGGGAUAAGGGGUGGAAUAAUCCCUUAUCCCCCCCUUAAUACCCAAACGCUAAUUUUUUAUCCGAGAACAGUAGUUCUCGGUUACCUAUAAUAACCGGGUAUAACUAUCCCAACCAAUACCUCCAUUUUCUAUAUAAAACUACCCACUAUUUUUCUUAUUCCAUAUUAUCUAUCCAAACGCUAUUUUUAUUAUCCCCGGGAACAACCCAAUUUUCAUCCAAACGCUAUCUUUCUUAUCCUCAUACUUGUACCUAUCCCUGUAAUAGUUAGUUCUUGCUUAUACCCGAACCAAACGCUAGGGAUUUUCAUUUAUUUGAUUCAGAAAAAAUUGUUAGAGAAAGUGAAUCGAUCUAAAUAAAAU
rnacentral:lncRNA from 1 species